UACGUAGGGAGCAAGCGUUGUUCGGAUUUACUGGGCGUAAAGGGCGCGUAGGCGGCAAAUUAAGUCAGCUGUGAAAUCUCCGAGCUUAACUCGGAACUGUCAGCUGAUACUGAUCUGCUAGAGUGCGGAAGGGGCAAUCGGAAUUCUUGGUGUAGCGGUGAAAUGCGUAGAUAUCAGGAGGAACACCAAUUGCGAAGGCAGCUCGCUGGAACGUUACUGACGCUGAGACGCGAAAGCGUGGGGAGCAAACAGG
rnacentral:rRNA from 1 species